GAUGAACGCUGGCGGCGUGCCUAAUACAUGCAAGUCGAGCGAACAGACGAGGAGCUUGCUCCUCUGACGUUAGCGGCGGACGGGUGAGUAACACGUGGAUAACCUACCUAUAAGACUGGGAUAACUUCGGGAAACCGGAGCUAAUACCGGAUAAUAUAUUGAACCGCAUGGUUCAAUAGUGAAAGACGGUUUUGCUGUCACUUAUAGAUGGAUCCGCGCCGCAUUAGCUAGUUGGUAAGGUAACGGCUUACCAAGGCAACGAUGCGUAGCCGACCUGAGAGGGUGAUCGGCCACACUGGAACUGAGACACGGUCCAGACUCCUACGGGAGGCAGCAGUAGGGAAUCUUCCGCAAUGGGCGAAAGCUUGACAGAGCAACGCCGCGUGAGUGAUGAAGGUCUUCGGAUCGUAAAACUCUGAUAUUAGGGAAGAACAAAUGUGUAAGUAACUAUGCACGUCUUGACGGUACCUAAUCAGAAAGCCACGGCUAACUACGUG
rnacentral:rRNA from 1 species